AUAGCUGGUCUGAGAGGAUGAUCAGCCACACUGGGACUGAGACACGGCCCAGACUCUUACGGGAGGCAGCAGUGGGGAAUAUUGGACAAUGGGCGCAAGCCUGAUCCAGCCAUGCCGCGUGCAGGAUGAAG
rnacentral:rRNA from 1 species